rnacentral:rRNA from 1 species
AGUGAACGCUGGCGGCAGGCCUAACACAUGCAAGUCGAGCGGCAGCGCGGGGGCAACCCUGGCGGCGAGCGGCGGACGGGUGAGGAAUUCGUCGGAAUCUGCCUUUUUGUGGGGGAUAACGUAGGGAGACUUACGCUAAUACCGCAUACGUCCUACGGGAGAAAGUGGGGGACCGCAAGGCCUCACGCAGAAAGAUGAGCCGACGACCGAUUAGCUAGUUGGUGGGGUAAAGGCCCACCAAGGCGACGAUCGGUAGCUGGUCUGAGAGGAUGAUCAGCCACACUGGGACUGAGACACGGCCCAGACUCCUACGGGAGGCAGCAGUGGGGAAUAUUGGACAAUGGGCGCAAGCCUGAUCCAGCCAUGCCGCGUGUGUGAAGAAGGCCUUCGGGUUGUAAAGCACUUUUGUCCGGAAAGAAAUCCCUGGAGCUAAUACCUUCGGGGGAUGACGGUACCGGAAGAAUAAGCACCGGCUAACUUCGUG